GGGGAAUAUUGCGCAAUGGGGGAAACCCUGACGCAGCAAUACCGCGUGAGUGAAGAAGGUUUUCGGAUCGUAAAGCUCUGUUAUUGGGGAAGAAAAAAAGACGGUACCCAAGAAGAAAGUCCCGGCUAACUACGUGCCAGCAGCCGCGGUAAUACGUAGGGGACAAGCGUUGUCCGGAUUUACUGGGCGUAAAGGGCACGCAGGCGGUUUUUUAAGUCAGAUGUGAAAGGUACCGGCUCAACCGGUGACAUGCAUUUGAAACUGCUUUUCUUGAGUGUCGGAGAGGUAAUCGGAAUUCCUUGUGUAGCGGUGAAAUGCGUAGAUAUAAGGAAGAACACCAGUGGCGAAGGCGGAUUACUGGACGAUAACUGACGGUGAGGCGCGAAAGCGUGGGGAGCAAACA
rnacentral:rRNA from 1 species